UACGAAGGGGGCUAGCGUUGCUCGGAAUCACUGGGCGUAAAGCGCACGUAGGCGGACUCUUAAGUCGGUGGUGAAAUCCUGGAGCUCAACUCCAGAACUGCCUUCGAUACUGAGAGUCUCGAGUCCGGGAGAGGUGAGUGGAAUUCCGAGUGUAGAGGUGAAAUUCGUAGAUAUUCGGAGGAACACCAGUGGCGAAGGCGGCUCACUGGUCCGGUACUGACGCUGAGGUGCGAAAGCGUGGGGAGCAAACAGG
rnacentral:rRNA from 1 species